GGCUGACCUGAUGGCAAUGGAUUAUUGGAACUUAUUAACAUUAGUGUCACUAAAGUUGGUAUACAAUCCCCCACUGGCAAAUUUUACUGGCUUUUU
ensembl:misc_RNA Y_RNA Y RNA